rnacentral:rRNA from 1 species
AUUGAACGCUGGCGGCAGGCCUAACACCUGCAAGUCGAACGAGUGGCGGACGGGUGAGUAAUGUCUGGGAACCUGCCUGAUGGAUGGGGAUAACUACUGGUAACGGUAGCUAAUACCGCAUACCAUCAGAUGUGCCCAGAUGGGAUUAGCUAGUUGGUGGGGUAACGGCUCACCAGGGCGACGAUGCCUAGCUGGUCUGGGAGGAUGACCAGCAACACGGGAAAUGAGAAACGGUCCAGACUCCUACGGGAGGCAGAAGUGGGGAAUAUUGCACAAUGGGCGCAAGCCUGAUGCAGCAAUGCCGCGUGUAUGAAGAAGGCCUUCGGGUUGUAAAGUACUUUCAGCGGGGAGGCGUUACCCGCAGAAGAAGCACCGGCUAACUCCGUGCCAGCAGCCGCGGUAAUUC